UCUCCGUAGGUGAACCUGCGGAAGGAUCAUUAAUGAGUUGUCAUGGGGUUCGAUGCUGGCAGCCAAUUUUUGGAUGCAUGUGCCUGCCCUAACAAUCAUCUUCCAAACACCUGUGCACAUUUUUGAGGGAGUCUUGAGUUGGUUGCCGCUCUUGGGUGAUUUUCUCACAUUCCCUUAAAUCAUUAUACGCUAUUAACAAUGUUGAACGUGCUCUGUGCCGCAAGGCUAUUAAUAUAAUACAACUUUUAACAACGGAUCUCUUGGCUCUC
rnacentral:misc_RNA from 1 species